rnacentral:rRNA from 1 species
UACGGGGGGGGCAAGCGUUGUUCGGAAUUACUGGGCGUAAAGCGCGUGUAGGCGGCCCGGUAAGUCCGCUGUGAAAGUCGGGGGCUCAACCCUCGGAUGCCGGUGGAUACUGUCGGGCUAGAGUGCGGGAGAGGCGAGUGGAAUUCCUGGUGUAGCGGUGAAAUGCGCAGAUAUCAGGAGGAACACCAAUUGCGAAGGCAGCUCGCUGGAACGUUACUGACGCUGAGACGCGAAAGCGUGGGGAGCAAACAGG